CUUUGACCAAACAAGAAGUAGUGGUUGCCAUGUUCUCCAAGUUCUGUUUCCUUUUUCUUCUUCUUUUGCUAUUUUCUGGUGCUUUUGAAGCGAUUGCAGGAGUAAAUGACCACAAGAAUAAUGUAAAUCGCAAUAUCUCAACUCUUGCGGGAAUCGAAUUGCUUGACCACAUGACGUUCAAUGCAGUUUCUUCUUCAACAAUAAAAACAGAUUGUAGC
rnacentral:misc_RNA from 1 species